GCCUGAGUAGCUCAGUCGGUUGGGCAUCCGAUUUCGGCUCAGGUCAUGAUCUCACCGUCCGUGAGUUCAAGCCCCGCCUCCGGCU
rnacentral:tRNA from 1 species